ACGAUGAAGCCCUUCGGGGUGGAUUAGUGGCGAACGGGUGAGUAACACGUGGGCAAUCUGCCCUGCACUCUGGGACAAGCCCUGGAAACGGGGUCUAAUACCGGAUGACACUUCCUUCCGCAUGGGAGGAGGUUGAAAGCUCCGGCGGUGCAGGAUGAGCCCGCGGCCUAUCAGCUUGUUGGUGGGGUGAUGGCCUACCAAGGCGACGACGGGUAGCCGGCCUGAGAGGGCGACCGGCCACACUGGGACUGAGACACGGCCCAGACUCCUACGGGAGGCAGCAGUGGGGAAUAUUGCACAAUGGGCGAAAGCCUGAUGCAGCGACGCCGCGUGAGGGAUGACGGCCUUCGGGUUGUAAACCUCUUUCAGCAGGGAAGAAGCGAAAGUGACGGUACCUGCAGAAGAAGCGCCGGCUAACUACGUGCCAGCAGCCGCGGUAAUACGUAGGGCGCAAGCGUUGUCCGGAAUUAUUGGGCGUAAAGAGCUCGUAGGCGGCUUGUCACGUCGGAUGUGAAAGCCCGGGGCUUAACCCCGGGUCUGCAUUCGAUACGGGCAGGCUAGAGUGUGGUAGGGGAGAUCGGAAUUCCUGGUGUAGCGGUGAAAUGCGCAGAUAUCAGGAGGAACACCGGUGGCGAAGGCGGAUCUCUGGGCCAUUACUGACGCUGAGGAGCGAAAGCGUGGGGAGCGAACAGGAUUAGAUACCCUGGUAGUCCACGCCGUAAACGUUGGGAACUAGGUGUUGGCGACAUUCCACGUCGUCGGUGCCGCAG
rnacentral:rRNA from 1 species